CGUGACGAAAACAAAACACUCCGCUCUCUACUGCUGUGUUCUCAGUUCGCUCGUCGUCUGUUCCUGCCUUUCAAUCUCGUUCUCCAUUUUAGGGUCUUCAUUUUGCACCCGAUGUCUUUUGAUCACAACAAGGAACAUUCAUCAAUUAUUAUAGCAUUUUGUUUUAUGAACCGAGGCAGACUGUGGUUGCGGAGGAUAUUGUUUCGGCACUGGACUUGAAACUCCUUUUCUUUGGAGGAAAGGUUCUUGAUUCAUUCACUUCUUGUGAGGAAUUUCUAGUUUGAGAUUUAAGGGUUCUUAUUAGAUAGGGGGACUCUCAUGGGGAAAUCAUCCUUGGCUCCUGGGUUUCGGUUCAAGCCAACUGAUGUUGAGCUUGUGCAAUACUACUUGAAGAGAAAGUUACUGGGGAAAAGGCUUGGUUUUAAAGUCAUUGCAGAGGUUGACAUUUACAAGUAUGAUCCUUGGGAUCUUCCAGACAAAUCUUGCUGGGAAAGUGGGGAUCUGAAAUGGUAUUUCUUUUGUCCGAGAGAAAAGAAGUAUCGUAAUGGGAAUAGAAUUCAACGUGCCACUGAAGGUGGUUACUGGAAGACCACGGGAAAGGAUAGAUCGGUUCUUUACAGUGGUGAAGUUGUUGGGUGGAUAAAAACUUUAAUUUUUCACACUGGUCGAGCCCCACGAGGAGAUCGAACAAAUUGGGUUAUGCAUGAGUAUAGGCUUGAAGAUCAGGGCCUGGCUGAUAAGGGUGUGCCUCUGGACUCAUAUGUGAUCUGUAUGAUUUUCGAAAAAGAUGGGUUGGGGCCAAAAAUUGGUGCACAAUAUGGUGCACCCUUCAAAGAGGAAGACUGGACUGAUGAUGAAGCUGAAAUUUGUUCAGAAGCAAUCCCACAUGAAAAUAUGUCUGAGCCAAACCUUGUAGUGCUGAGCAACUGUAAUAGUUCCAUCACUACUAGCGGACAUUCGCCGAAGGGUAUACACACAAGUCCUUCUGAAUCGUGCAUAUCAGAUGUUAUACCCCCUUCUUGCAAUGUUCACCAAUUGGUUUCCAGUAAUCAUGUUACAAUGGAUAAGCUUCAUGGUUCCGAUGAUGAUAUCCUGUCAAUGUUGAAUUGCUUCACUGAAGGAAGCACUUCCUUAAUUAAAGAAAAUGACAAAAAUGAGGAGCUUGGUAAUGUCAUUCCUUCUGGAAAUGCUAGUGCUACACCCAAUUUCAAUGGUGAUGAUAUUUAUGAAGAUUUAGGAGAUUUGGGGAAGAUGGCUAGAGUGAGUGAAGAUGAAUAUAAUUUCUCCAAUGUGCAUAAUUCAAUCCGUGCCCCGGCUCAAAUGCAGCUAGGUGACAAUGAGCAAUUCUUGGAGCUGGAUGAUCUAUCUUGGUAAACCGUUGAAUUGCCAUGAUUCAUAUACUCAGCCUCCUACUUUGAUGGGAGAGACGCCUAUUCUGGUUGAAGACGAGUUGAAUUUGUUUGAUAACUUUAACUUCUGAAAUUAUUUUUGCUCUCUAGUCCUUCAGAUCAAAUUUGUUAACCAGUUUGCUAACUUUCAGAAGUUCACCUUAUCAGGCACAACUUUGAGUUGCCUCUGCACAUUCAUUUUCAUUGUUGGGAUGGAACGGUACUGAAAAUUGUGUUUACCGUAUUGUAUUAAAAAUUAUCAGGUUUACCUGGGAUUACCGUAUUGUUU